rnacentral:antisense_RNA from 1 species
GACAGCAGUUUAUACACAUUUGUUUCCUUCCCAUGGUUGUUUCCUUCCCAGUGCAGGCAUAGAGCCCAUGAGAAGGGCAGUCUCUGAACGAGGGAGCCAGGAACGUAGGUCGGACACGUCUUUGGCAGGCAUGUUCAGCCCCAGCAGGAUGCAAUCCUUCAAGUUGGAAUUCCACUGGGUAUUUGAGAGGGACCAAGGUGGGGGGUAGAGAGGAAGUCUUCAACAGGACUCACAUCUCGGUCCAGGCCUCCUCUCUCACUAUCCAAGUCCAUCCAAGUUUUAGGACCCUGGGGGGCAACAGUCAGGCCCACCCACCUCAACGGGCAGAUUCUUCAAUCUGUGCCCAGUUCACACACACCUGUUUCUGCUGGUCGCACAGUUAAAGAGAAUCAGACUUAUGGUAACAGACAGACCACUUCCUCUCUGCCCCUCCCCGGCACCUCUCUUCAGCGGCAUCUGCGCAGGAACCGCUGGGAAGACGGAGGCCUGCCUUCUCAGUUCAGCCGCAUGGGCCCUCAUCCACAAAUCUUCCAUCAGCAACAGGAUGGAGGCCACACGUGGAUAAAAAAGUAGAUGGAUGUGAGAAGAAUGAAAGAGUUUCAUUUGAUAGACUAAUUAGAGAUCUGAAGUGAUUUUACCUUUAUUUCCUUCACUUUAAGCCAAUCAUGAAAUUUCACAGUGAUUUCUGGGGUGGGGGCAGAAGGAAGGCUGUGUUAAGAAUCAUCGGGGCUGUGGCCCAGUCAGCCCGCGGAGGUGCAGGCAGGGUGAGCCCUCACUGGGGCAGCUGGAGGAGCACGGACUGCCCCGCCGGCAGGUAGGUGAUGUUCCGAGAGCGUGAGAGCUGGUACGCGAUGUCCUCCGCAGCUUCCAGCUUGCGCAGCUCGAUCAGGCCAUCCCCUGCAGUGGCCAGUGAGUUGGCAAUCAGCUCAGCUGCCUUGGAGUCGCCCUCAGCAGAGAUGAUGGCCGCCUUUUUCUGUU